UACGUAGGGUGCGAGCGUUGUCCGGAAUUACUGGGCGUAAAGCGCGUGUAGGCGGGUUGUUAAGUCCGCUGUGAAAGCCCGGUGCUCAACGCCGGAGGGUCGGUGGAUACUGGCAGUCUUGAAGUGGCUAGGGGGAAAUGGAAUUACCGGUGUAGCGGUGAAAUGCGUAGAUAUCGGUAGGAACACCAGUGGCGAAGGCGGUUUCCUGGAGCCCACUUGACGCUGAGACGCGAAAGCUGGGGGAGACAAACGGGG
rnacentral:rRNA from 1 species